rnacentral:rRNA from 1 species
GACGAACGCUGGCGGCGUGCUUAACACAUGCAAGUCGAACGGAAAGGCCCUGCUUUUGUGGGGUGCUCGAGUGGCGAACGGGUGAGUAACACGUGAGUAACCUGCCCUUGACUUUGGGAUAACUUCAGGAAACUGGGGCUAAUACCGGAUAGGAGCUCCUGCUGCAUGGUGGGGUUGGAAAGUUUCGGCGGUUGGGGAUGGACUCGCGGCUUAUCAGCUUGUUGGUGGGGUAGUGGCUUACCAAGGCUUUGACGGGUAGCCGGCCUGAGAGGGUGACCGGCCACAUUGGGACUGAGAUACGGCCCAGACUCCUACGGGAGGCAGCAGUGGGGAAUAUUGCACAAUGGGCGGAAGCCUGAUGCAGCAACGCCGCGUGCAGGAUGACGGCCUUCGGGUUGUAAACCGCUUUCGCCUGUGACGAAGCGUGAGUGACGGUAAUGGGUAAAGAAGCACCGGCUAACUACGUG